GUUUGAUUGAUGCCCAUUCAGUGAUUAAGGCUACGGAAGAAAUGAAGCAGAAAAUGGCCUCUUUAAUACCAAAAAGAGACUUCCCAAAGGUUCCUGAUAAAUAAGAAGAACUUGGACAAGUGGAAAGAUUGCUGGCCAGAGCCAGGACCAUGAUGUCUGCACGUGAUCCAGAAGCCAAAUGCAGGAAGUCUGAAAGAGUUGAUCCUCCAAAGCUUGCAAUUUGCUUCUGUCUGAUAUUGUCAUGCCAGAGAAUUCAUGGGCAGGGGAAAGGAUUGAAAUUUUGAAUGUGAGGUCUGACGAAAAAGCACAGUCCAGAUUUGAACUGACACUUUGCUAAUCCAAAAAAGCAAUGAACUCUUAUCAAGCAUGGACUAACACAAUGGAGGAAACAACAAGAGAAAGUUUUCUUCUGGAUUUGAUUCUUUACCACAGGAAGAAAUUGGAUGCUUGGGUUUAAAUCAUGGGAAUGUUGGGAA